rnacentral:rRNA from 1 species
UACGUAGGGUGCGAGCGUUGUCCGGAAUACUGGGCGUAAAAGAGCUCUAGGUGGUUUGUCGCGUUGUCCGUGAAAACUCACAACUCAAUUGUGGGCGUGCGGGCGAUACGGGGCAGACUGGGAGUACUGCAGGGGGAGACUGGAAUUCCUGGUGUAGCGUGAAAUGCGCAGAUAUCAGGAGGAACACCGGUGGCGAAGGC